AUGACGAGAGUGAAGAAUAGUUACUAUGUACUUCCAGGAGAACCUGAACCGAAGCGCACCGUGUCAAACACUCACAGCAUUGGGAAGGUGAUGUUCCUAACAGCUGUUGCCAAGCCUCGAUAUAACAAUGAGGGGGAGCUAACAUUCGAUGGGAAGAUCGGCAUUUGGGCAUUCGUCGAAGAGACUGAGGCGAAGCGAACAAGUCAGAACAGAACAAAGGGAACAAAAGUGUUGACAUCAGUGAAAGUAACCAGGCCUGUGUGCAGAGAUUAUCUAAUCAAUAAGGUUAUCCCGGCAAUUCAAGAUAAGUGGCCUGACGAUGAUGAGGGAGCAACAAUAUUCAUCCAAUAG
rnacentral:rRNA from 1 species